AUGAAGAAUCAAAAUUGGAAUCAGAAUCGUUAAAAUCUAAACGAUGCCCAACCCUAUUCUUCUCACAAACAA